CCUACGGGAGGCAGCAGUGGGGAAUAUUGCACAAUGGGGGAAACCCUGAUGCAGCAACGCCGCGUGAGUGAUGACGGUCUUCGGAUUGUAAAGCUCUGUUUUCAGGGACGAUAAUGACGGUACCUGAGGAGGAAGCCACGGCUAACUACGUGCCAGCAGCCGCGGUAAU
rnacentral:rRNA from 1 species